GGGGUUCUGUGAUAGGCAUGUUAGAAGACAGCAGGAAUGGAAGGGGAGUUUCUCCAAGUUCGCAUGGAAGGGCAGUGCAUCCGAGAUGUUGUAAUUCCCAAGUGAUCAUAGAAAUCCACAUUCCAGUGUGAAUGUAACGGAAGCAUUAUCACAGGAGUUUCAUGUAGAGAACCUCAAGAUUGGAAUUAUGAACACUGCUACUGAGAUGGUACAUUCUAUGACAUUUCUCUGGAUGAAUACAUAGGAGUGGACUUUCUAGGCUGUUGGGAGUCCUGCCCAGGGGUGGCCUUUCCUGUAUUCCAGUUCUGAUCAGGAGAGCAACUGAAGGAAGAUUCCUUCCUCCGCCUGGAGCAAUCAGCCUCCAAACAGUCAAACCAUCUACCAUCGCAUAAUGUCAUUGAAAAACUAGCUGGUUCUUGGAGAGGUCAGUUAAGAAAAGGAACAUGGAGGAAUGUCCAAAUACGCAGGGCUCUUCCUCAGGAAGAAGUGAUGGAAAAAGGAAGAUAGAAAGUACCGUGGUUUAAUCUGUUAAAGACUGCUGACUUUGGAGUGGACAACACAGAGACAAGAUCCAUGCCAUUCUUCAGUUGAAGUGACCUGGCUGCUAAAACCAAGAGCAGUUCCUACUUACGAGCCUUUUAAAUGUAGAAAGGGAGUUCCCUACUCAGCCUUAUCCCCUACUACUUGCUUCCUGCGUGUAUUGUAUAAGAUAAGACUCUUGAGUAAAAUUUUGUUUUAUUAACUUAGUUCUGAGACUUAAAAAAGAGUAGAAGUCCUUAACACCAUAGUAACAGAAAAUUUUCAUAUAGGAACAUACAUAAUUUGCCAGAAAAAAAUACCUUUUUACAGAGGUCACAGUAUAUAAUGACACCUAUGAUUCACAAUAGAACUUAUAGUUAAGCGGAUACUUUUGCCAUACAUAAAUGUCAACUACUGGUUUAUACGGUUCUGUACUACUGUUCUAGAAUCAUUUUGCACCUGUCUCCUAGCAGGCAUAUUCACAAAAUUAAAUCAAGAAAUAAACUAUAAACCAAUCAAUAGUUUACUCUUUGCUUUAAGACCUUUUAUUUUACCAUGAGAGGUUGUAGUAUGUUAAGCCAGUGCUUUAUAAUGUGAAAUAAAAUAACAUGCAAAUAAGUCACUAUUAACACAAAUCACAAAGCAUUUGCUGGUUUAUCUUUAUGUAACUAAAAAUAUUCAACAUUCACUCAUUGAAAGAGUUUACAUUUAAUAAUGGCCACGAAGUUGAAAUGUAUACUCUAGCUUAAAAGCAGGAACAGAAAUUAUGUUCUGCAGAGGGCAGAUUUCAAAAGCCAAAACUCACUACUUAAGAGUACUAAAAGUUUGCCUAGAUACAUGGUACAUACUUAGCCGCUUAUGUCAGUGUGGGUGUCUGAGACAGAAGAUGAACGUCUCAGGCAGAACAGCCCAUCUCAGGAGAAUUAGAACGGGUGAAAUGGCAUAAUGAUGGGCACUCAAUGCACUCUGCACAGCUGCCCUUCCACUUUCAACACCAAAGGCAGCAAGAGACAGGAAAAGACUGACAAAUUGACUGGUUCUGCCAUUUCCUUAAUAUUAAUGUGCCAUGUCACUUUUUGAGGUUCUUAGAUAAGAUCUGAUUGCUCCUUAGUCCUUUUUAAUUACCUUUCAGAGUUCCUUUGUUACAGGAUUUGUUACCAUGAAUCCAAGAGACGUUUCCUUGUCACUCUGACAGAAAGGAUUGGACUGUUUCACCAGAACUAAUGAAUAUCUUCAUGGAAAAAAGUAAUAAAUGUUAUGCUGUUUCCUAGAUUGCUUAUGUAAUUGACAGCAAGAAGCACCACUGGAAUAGUAAUAAUAAAAUCUUCCUUGUUAACUCCAAAGCAUAACAAUAGAAAUGUGAAGAUAUAGAAUCUGAAUUUCUUCAAUUUUUCUUUUCAACCAAAAUAUACUGUGAAAGUACUUAUGAAUGAUGUAUCAUUCUACAAAUGAUUUAUUCACAAUUGACCCUAUGGUUCAGGUUUUACAUCAGAGAAUCCCCAUCACAUGACAUACAACAUGAUAACAAAGAAAACGUCAUUAGUUACUAACAAAAACGAUUGUGUAUAUGCUCUAGCCAUUAAUGACACAUUUCAGAGUAUGAGGGUGUUGUCACAUUGUUUUCAUUUGUUGUUUUCUGUUUUCCUGUGAUUUGUCAUUGCCAUGUUUAUGAUUUCUUUCUGUGCAAUAAAUGUAUCCCAAACUA